GACGAACCGUGCGAACGUUAUUCGGAAUCACUGGGCUUAAAGGGCGCGUAGGCGGGCCACCAAGUCAGGGGUGAAAUCCCACGGCUCAACCGUGGAAGUGCCCUUGAUACUGGUGGCCUCGAGGGAGGCAGGGGCGUGCGGAACUUUGGGUGGAGCGGUGAAAUGCGUAGAUAUCCAAAGGAACACCGGUGGCGAAAGCGGCGCGCUGGACCUCUUCUGACGCUGAGGUGCGAAAGCGUGGGGAGCAAACAG
rnacentral:rRNA from 1 species